rnacentral:rRNA from 1 species
AGCGAACGUUAGCGGCGCGCCUAACACAUGCAAGUCGCACGAGAAAGGGGGCAACCCCCCGGUACAGUGGCGCACGGGUGAGUAACACGUGGGUGAUCUGCCCAGAAGAAGGGGAUAACCUCUCGAAAGGGGGGCUAAUACCGCAUAGGACCACCGGGGCUGUGGCUCUGUGGUGAAAGGGGCCUCUGUUUACAAGCUCCUGCUUCUGGAUGAGCCCGCGUCCCAUCAGCUAGUUGGUAGGGUAAUGGGCCUACCAAGGCUACGACGGGUAGCUGGUCUAAGAGGAUGGCCAGCCACACUGGAACUGAGACACGGUCCAGACUCCUACGGGAGGCAGCAGUGGGGAAUCUUGCGCAAUGGGCGAAAGCCUGACGCAGCGACGCCGCGUGGGUGACGAAGGCCUUCGGGUUGU